UGCAACUCGCCUGCGNGAAGUUGGAAUUGCUAGUAAUCGCGGAUCAGCAUGCCGCGGUGAAUACGUUCCCGGGCCUUGUACACACCGCCCGUCACACCAUGGGAGUUUGUAACACCCGAAGUCAGUAUCCUAACCGCGAAGGGGGGGAGCUGCCGAAGGUGGGAUAAGCGACUGGGGUGAAGUCGUAACAAGGUAUC
rnacentral:rRNA from 1 species